UGGUCAUUGUCUGGCACACCAACAUGUAUUGAUGAGCUCUUGCUGCAUAACAAAUUGCCCCAAAGUUCCAUGGCUUAAAACAGCAAACAUUUGUAACUGUUCUUGCUUCUCUGAAGGUUGGCUGAAGUUCAGCCAGUGUAGGCUGAACUCAACAUAUGGCUUUGAUGAUCACCCUUCACAAGCCUACGGAAUGCCUGGGGUGACUCCAUUUCAGGCUGUGGGAACAAGGGGUUUAUGUUUCAUAUAUCUCACAUUCUUCUCCUGGUACCAGAGUGUCAUCUGGGGUAUGCUUUUUUCAUGAGAAUGACAGAGGCACAUGAGAACAAGUGGCAACACAGGAGGACACUGAAGUCUUGGCUCAGAAAUUGCACACUCUACCCAUGUGCUAUUAGCCAAAACAAGUUACAGGGUCAAGCCUGAUUGAGGGAUGGAGAAGCACACUCUGCCCUCCCUCCAUGAGGCCCAGAAAAAGUGUGGAUGCAGAAGAAAGUUGGAAUUGGGGGUAAAACUCUAUAACCAACACAGCUUGGCCUCUUAAUCUUCCUUCAGCACAUUGAUGCUAUUCAUGCUCAAAAUAUCACAUAUGAGGAACAAAGUGAAAGUCAAUUUCUGAAAUCUAUUUCAAAUACAUCAUUUUGAAGGACUGGUGGUUCAAAGAGCCUAAACAAUAUAGAAGAAGGAAUUGUGGUUUGGUGGGAUGACAAAUGACUGAACCAAAAUUGGUUUGGGGUUUUAUUUCUAGAUACGAAAAUCACAUUACUGUCAUCAGUGGAUUAAUAGAGCUGCUACCUAGACUGACAAGACGCAGUAAAAACGCCUGGCAAAUUGGAGCUGGGGUGAUAUGGAAUCCUACAAAGAAGAACCACAGAAAGCAUCAUUAGAAAGAAAGCCUAGCAAGUGAGAUAAAAUAACUGCAGCUAGAAAUGUUGGUAAUGGGAAGAAUACAAGCUUAAUAUCAAGUGGACCAAGAUUUGAAUCCCAAAGCUGACAUUUAUAAUUUGUUUCCUGGGCAAAGUUUUUACCCACUAAGUAGGAUGGUGACACCUCAGCCCUUCUGCGAGAAAAACAAGGGUGAUCCACAUCCCCCAUCCCUCAUCUUAAAGUCAGGUUCAUAACGGAUAAGGUCUCUGAAAGGCCAGCAGGAUGCUACCUCCUUAUCCCUGUCAGUGCCAC
rnacentral:lncRNA from 10 species